rnacentral:rRNA from 1 species
GAUCCUGGCUCAGGAUGAACGCUAGCUACAGGCUUAACACAUGCAAGUCGAGGGGAAACGAUAGAGAAAGCUUGCUUUUUCUAGGCGUCGACCGGCGCACGGGUGAGUAACGCGUAUCCAACCUGCCCAUCACUUGGGGAUAACCUUGCGAAAGUAAGACUAAUACCCAAUGAUAUCUCUAGAAGACAUCUGAAAGAGAUUAAAGAUUUAUCGGUGAUGGAUGGGGAUGCGUCUGAUUAGCUUGUUGGCGGGGUAACGGCCCACCAAGGCAACGAUCAGUAGGGGUUCUGAGAGGAAGGUCCCCCACAUUGGAACUGAGACACGGUCCAAACUCCUACGGGAGGCAGCAGUGAGGAAUAUUGGUCAAUGGGCGAGAGCCUGAACCAGCCAAGUAGCGUGCAGGAAGACGGCCCUAUGGGUUGUAAACUGCUUUUAUAAGGGAAUAAAGUGAGUCUCGUGAGACUUUUUGCAUGUACCUUAUGAAUAAGGACCGGCUAAUUCCGUGCCAGCAGCCGCGGUAAUACGGAAGGUCCGGGCGUUAUCCGGAUUUAUUGGGUUUAAAGGGAGCGUAGGCCGGAGAUUAAGCGCGUUGUGAAAUGUCGGGGCUCAACCUGGGCAUUGCAGCGCGAACUGUCAGACUUGAGUGCGCGGGAAGUAGGCGGAAUUCGUCGUGUAGCGGUGAAAUGCUUAGAUAUGACGAAGAACUCCGAUUGCGAAGGCAGCCUGCUGUAGCGCAACUGACGCUGAAGCUCGAAAGCGUGGGUAUCGAACAGGAUUAGAUACCCUGGUAGUCCACGCGGUAAACGAUGGAUGCUCGCUGUUUGCGUCUGACGUAAGCGGCCGAGCGAAAGCGUUAAGCAUCCCACCUGGGGA